rnacentral:rRNA from 1 species
GGGAAACGGGUUAAUAUUCCCGUACUUGGUGUUACUGCGAAGGGGGGACGGAGAAGGCUAUGUUGGCCGGGCGACGGUUGUCCCGGUUUAAGCGUGUAGGCUGGUUUUCCAGGCAAAUCCGGAAAAUCAAGGCUGAGGCGUGAUGACGAGGCACUACGGUGCUGAAGCAACAAAUGCCCUGCUUCCAGGAAAAGCCUCUAAGCAUCAGGUAACAUCAAAUCGUACCCCAAACCGACACAGGUGGUCAGGUAGAGAAUACCAAGGCGCUUGAGAGAACUCGGGUGAAGGAACUAGGCAAAAUGGUGCCGUAACUUCGGGAGAAGGCACGCUGACACGUAGGUGAAGUGAUUUACUCAUGGAGCUGAAGUCAGUCGAAGAUACCAGCUGGCUGCAACUGUUUAUUAAAAACACAGCACUGUGCAAACACGAAAGUGGACGUAUACGGUGUGACGCCUGCCCGGUGCCGGAAGGUUAAUUGAUGGGGUCAGCGCAAGCGAAGCUCCUGAUCGAAGCCCCGGUAAACGGCGGCCGUAACUAUAACGGUCCUAAGGUAGCGAAAUUCCUUGUCGGGUAAGUUCCGACCUGCACGAAUGGCGUAAUGAUGGCCAGGCUGUCUCCACCCGAGACUCAGUGAAAUUGAACUCGCUGUGAAGAUGCAGUGUACCCGCGGCAAGACGGAAAGACCCCGUGAACCUUUACUAUAGCUUGACACUGAACAUUGAGCCUUGAUGUGUAGGAUAGGUGGGAGGCUUUGAAGUGUGGACGCCAGUCUGCAUGGAGCCGACCUUGAAAUACCACCCUUUAAUGUUUGAUGUUCUAACGUGGACCCGUUACCCGGGUUGCGGACAGUGUCUGGUGGGUAGUUUGACUGGGGCGGUCUCCUCCUAAAGAGUAACGGAGGAGCACGAAGGUUGGCUAAUCCUGGUCGGACAUCAGGAGGUUAGUGCAAUGGCAUAAGCCAGCUUGACUGCGAGCGUGACGGCGCGAGCAGGUGCGAAAGCAGGUCAUAGUGAUCCGGUGGUUCUGAAUGGAAGGGCCAUCGCUCAACGGAUAAAAGGUACUCCGGGGAUAACAGGCUGAUACCGCCCAAGAGUUCAUAUCGACGGCGGUGUUUGGCACCUCGAUGUCGGCUCAUCACAUCCUGGGGCUGAAGUAGGUCCCAAGGGUAUGGCUGUUCGCCAUUUAAAGUGGUACGCGAGCUGGGUUUAGAACGUCGUGAGACAGUUCGGUCCCUAUCUGCCGUGGGCGCUGGAGAACUGAGGGGGGCUGCUCCUAGUACGAGAGGACCGGAGUGGACGCAUCACUGGUGUUCGGGUUGUCAUGCCAAUGGCACUGCCCGGUAGCUAAAUGCGGAAGAGAUAAGUGCUGAAAGCAUCUAAGCACGAAACUUGCCCCGAG